GCCUGCUGACGUCAGCGCCUGCCUACGCCGCCGUUCCCAUGGCGACCGAUGCGUCCCGCGCUCUAGGCGAAGACCGCGGCCCCGUCCCCGCGCCUCCACCGCCUUCUUCCAGGAGGAGGGGCCGUGCGGCGCCUGCCCGGGGGCCCUCAGGCCGCAGGCGGGCGCGAGCUUCAGGGAACUUAGGGGGCUCCCGCCUCCCCGGCCACGCGAGCGGGAACAGUCUCCUCCACUCGGAGCGGCGCCAUCUUCAGCUCUGAGUCACCAGGGCUGGAAAAAUACUAGAUGCGCUACUCGUGGACUCGUGAAUACACUCGUGAAUACAGGCCAUUUCCUGUACCUACAGCCACCCGCUCCACUCAUCAUGCCUUACCUGGAUGAUGCAGAAGUCCCUGGAAACAGAAGGAAAAAUAAAUUCAAAUAUGGAAUAAAAAGCCCAAACUCAUGAAACUGGACUGACUUUGCUUCUUAAAAAUUCAACAUGCUGCAGCUGCAUGCUUAAACCUGGUUCAAACAGGAUGAUGAAAUAAAACAUUAUUAUUGUGGGAAUAUAACACUGUCUAAAUAAAUAGCCAACAUGAAAACUGUCUCUAAAACCCAUAGCAUCUGUAUGUGCAGACUGUAAGUAAGUUAUAUAAUUCCUCCACUAUUCUGUAACAUGGCCAAUUCAGAAUGUCUUACCAUUAAUCUUGAAGACAUUUAAAGAUGUUCACUUUUCUAACUCUUCCCUUUGAAAAUAUAUUUGAAC
rnacentral:lncRNA from 10 species